GCGCCCAUAGCUCAGCUGGUAGAGCAACUCCCUCUUAAGGAGAUGGUCGGGGGUUCGAUUCCCUCUGGGCGCA
rnacentral:tRNA from 1 species